rnacentral:misc_RNA from 1 species
GUAGGUAAGUUGAAACCCACGUCUGCUCCCUCCAUUUCCACAGCGGCUAAUAUGAAUUUUUAGGUGAACCUGCGGAAGGAUCAUUACCGUGUUUGGCUCCGGCCCUCACGCCCCUUGUGUACCUCUGGUUUCUUUGGCGCUCCGGCGUCAGACGUAUCAAAUUCUAAAAUGAGACUGUCCGAGUCAUACAAAUGAUUAAAACUUUCAACAACGGAUCUCUUGGUUCCA